UAGUCAAAUAAAUUUUGUUCAGACUUUCCCAUUAUAUAUUAUUUUAUGUGAAUAUUAUAAUUGGUGAUUUUUUUAAAUUUUAUGUUCUAUGUUCAUUUUGAUUUUAGAUGUCUUCUUUUGUAAAGAAAGAUAAAUGGACCAAGAUACAAGAAAUGACUAAAGAAUGGGCUGCCAAAUAUGAAGUUGUUGUUUGCCUUAAACUUGAUUUAAAGAGCAAGACAGUGAAAUUUGCAGGUCCUUCAUUCAUGAAACCAUUUGGUUCAGAUGUGGAUGUGAUAAAUAAAUUUUUGCAAUAUGCUGAAAGGGAUGGAAUUUUAAUGGAGAGGAAAUGGCAUUAG